CUCUUCUUGUUUGUUGAUUUGAAGUAUGGCCUGCCCGCUGAGGUUAUUGAAGGGCCGCGGUAUUUUGACCGUGCAAAGGUAGCAUAAUCAUUAGCUCUUUAAUUGUGAGCUGGUAUGAAUGGUUUGACGAGGCAUUAACUGUCUUUAACUUAAGGGUUGUUGAAUUUGUUUUUUAGGUAAGAAUACCUGGAUUUUUUUAUGGGACGAGAAGACCCUAUAGAGUUUUAUAUGACGCAUUUCCUUUAGUUUGUUGUGUUUGUGGGGUGUUGGUUUAUAUUUUGUUGGGGCGAUGAGAAGGUAGGUGUAACCCUUCUUUUAUUGUGUUUUCACUUAUUUGUGCUUUUUUGAUCCUUUUUAUUGAUUGUAAGACUAAAUUACCUUAGGGAUAACAGCAUAAUCUUUUUUGAGAGUUCUUAUUGACAAAAGGGUUUGUGA
rnacentral:rRNA from 1 species